CUAACCGCGAGCGUUAUGUCAGUCUUUGAUCGCCUUCGCGUUGUGACUUGAAAACAUUGCGACGAAAUGUCAAACCAGGUAAAUACACCGCGGGGUUUGCAAGUGAUAUUGGAACGCAGCUAAACGGGAAACACAAUGACGAUGCGUGCGAAAUGCAGACGAGAGAAGCUUAGGACCGCACGGAGUUUCAAUGUACUACGAAGAUUUAACUUGAACGAAUUCGUUUUGAGAACUGCGGAAGGCACCAUUUGUCAUUUGCAUUAGUCUCGUCGCUUCCAUUCAUAAAAAUUGAAUUUAAGCCGGAGGUAUGCGCACUCUUAGUAGCAUUUAAUUGUAUGAUUUUUAUAACAUAAAAUAUGCACACAAGUCGAUUGUCCGCGGACAAAAUCAAGGCAUUGCACAUUUUGUAUUUAUAAUUAAAUGUUAUUAAGAUUGCACAUACCUCCGACCGACGGGACUAGUUCAAGUGACAUUAACAAUUAGCACCUGCAACGCAAAUAGUACCUUCCGCAGUUCUCAAAACGAAUUCAUUCAAAUUAAUUACAUUCAAAAGUAACAGUCGAAAACGAAAAGCGCCAAUAUAUUGCAAAUAACGUGAACUGUCAAUAAACUAUUAUCUGUGACCCA